UACGAGGGGGGCAAGCGUUGUUCGGAAUUAUUGGGCGUAAAGGGUGCGUAGGCGGUCUGAUAAGUCAUCUGUGAAAUCUAUGGGCUCAACCCAUAGUCUGCAGGCGAAACUGUCGGGCUUGAGUAUGGGAGAGGUGAGUGGAAUUUCCGGUGUAGCAGUGAAAUGCGUAGAUAUCGUGAGGAACACCAGAGGCGAAGGCGGUUACCUGGACAGUUACUGACGCUCAGGCACGAAAGCGUGGGGAGCAAAAGGG
rnacentral:rRNA from 1 species